AGAAUCAACGCUGGCGGCGUGCCUCAGACAUGCAAGUCGAACGCGAAAGUUUCCUUCGGGGAGCGAGUAGAGUGGCGCACGGGUGAGUAACACGUAGGUAAUCUACCUUUGGAUGGGGAAUAACAACCGGAAACGGUUGCUAAUACCGCAUGAUGCAGCGGCACCUAAUGGUGACAGUUGUUAAAGCGGGGGAUCGAAAGACCUCGCGUCUGAAGAGGAGCCUGCGGCGGAUUAGCUAGUUGGUAGGGUAACGGCCUACCAAGGCAACGAUCCGUA
rnacentral:rRNA from 1 species